GGUCACAUGGUGUAAUGGUUAGCACAUCGGAUUUUGAACUUUCACUAAAAAAGCGAACAUUCCGGGGAUCAGGGUUCGAUUCCCUGUGAGACCU